AUAAAGGAAAAAAUAUUUGUGGAAUGAGCAAAGUAAAAUAUUAAAGUAACUGGAAUACAGAAGAAAGACAAAUAAUACAGCACAAGACUAUAAAAAUUUACCAGAAAUAUAGGCUCAAGUAAAACAAACCAAUGAAGGGAUUUUGCUAUGGCAUUGAAGAACAAGGAAGACAGGUGGCGACUACUUGGAUGGAAAAGUCAAUGUGAAGUGAAAUCUGGUGGAUAAGAAGACAAAUAAGAAGGGCUGGAGAGAAAGCAUCCUGGUCUAAGGAACCCGGAGAAAGAAGGCUUAGUCUGAAUGCAAAGCAGAAAUGCAAAGUGGUUAGGAAACAGCAACAAUAAAGAGAAAGUGUGAAAACAUGAAGAGUUUUGCAAUUCUUA